CUUCAGGGAGCCGAUCAGCAGGGGCUGGUCCUCGGGCCGGUCCUGGCCGUACGUGGCGAGCAGGGCCUGGGCCUC
rnacentral:antisense_RNA from 1 species